GAUGAAAUAACUUCUGGAGAACCUUCAGCCCUCCAAGUGCUGCUGAAAGGCCAUUGGCCAUGCUUGCUGGGGCUGAUUCUGCAAGCAUCAGCUGGAGGGCCAAAAAGUUCCUCAUAUCUGCUUAGCAUUAUGUGUGAACCGGGCCGAGGAAAAACCCAGUUAUAGAAUCUCAAAGGUCCAUGGAUCAACUUUUUCAGUUGAAGCUCUCAAGCCAUGUAACAUUCUUCCCUAGCUGCAUUUCAGAAGCAUUUUAAGAUGCCACCAUUCCUUUUGGAUGUGUUCUCAGUGCUGUGGGAGAGGGGAAGGUUGCUUUUCUUGCCAAUAAAUUUUCGAAGGA